CCAAGAUUCACGUGCCUUUGGUCAGGAGCGUCACCCCAGCACGGGGGUUUAUGCCGUAUGAGCAGGAGGGAGCACAAAGACGAGGCAGCAGGAGGGAAUAUACUCCUUUACGUGAGCGGUAAUAAUAUGAUCAUACCACCAAGUACGUAAAGAAAGAUGUAAUGAAGAGACAAAAUAUAUUUAACGGAGAAGACAUAGCGGAAGAAUAAUCACAUAAAUGGCACCGGCAACAGGAAGACGGGGCUGCCAUGCCUUCCAGAGCACCAGAUGCCCACAGCCACCUGCAAAAGGACAGCAGCACAGUGGCGCUCGGGGUCGGAGGAGAAAUGUGGCUGACACACAGCCCUGUGUCUGCUCAGUGCAGGGUCCCAGAUGGGUGACAGGACAUCGAUGGAGCACAGCCGACACUCCGCACCACCCGUCAUGCCCGUUUCUGCUCCUCGCUGCCAAUGCUAUGCUCUAGCUGCAAGCCCAAGUUGUUGGGCUCGCACAGAUGGAAAAAAGAGAAACAGAAGAAGGAACUGAAACACAGAUGGACUGUAAUCAGAUGAAACAGAGCUGAAUCUUUUCUUCUUCCCACCCAGCUGCAAUGAGGCAUUGCUGAACAGCACCAGUGAAUCCCAUUCUCCCCACUGUAACCCAUUUUGCAGUUUUCAGAGUCAAAAUGUAAGCCAGUCACCUUAGUGA
ensembl:lncRNA